CCUACGGGAGGCAGCAGUGGGGAAUUUUGCGCAAUGGGGGCAACCCUGACGCAGCAACGCCGCGUGAGUGAUGAAGGCCUUCGGGUCGUAAAGCUCUGUCAGAGGGGAAGAAAUGCAGGUGGUGAACAACCAUUCUGUUUGACGGUACCCUCAAAGGAAGCACCGGCUAACUCCGUGCCAGCAGCCGCGGUAAUACGGAGGGUGCGAGCGUUGUUCGGAAUUAUUGGGCGUAAAGCGCGUGUAGGCGGUUUGUUAAGUCUGAUGUAAAAGCCCCGGGCUCAACCCGGGAAGGGCAUUGGAUACUGGCAGACUUGAGGACGGGAGAGGAGAGUGAAAUUCCCAGUGUAGGAGUAAAAUCCGUAGAUAUUGGGAGGAACACCAGUGGCGAAGGCGGUUCUCUGGACGACAACUGACGCGGAGGGACGAAAGCAAGGGGAGCGAACGGGAUUAGAUACCCCGGUAGU
rnacentral:rRNA from 1 species